AAGUCGUAACAAGGUUUCCGUAGGUGAACCUGCGGAAGGAUCAUUAAUAGGUGCUGACACCCCGGGGCUUCGCCCUGGGGCGACGCAUACAGAGACGAAGAACGCACGUACAACACCGGAUUCGCGCCCGGGGCUGCCGUCGCAAGACGCGUAGCAGGCCAGCUCUCGUAGACGUAGGCGCCCACCCUGGCCAGCGUGCGUUUGACCCUCGCCACCCUUUGUUAAUUCACCUUUGUUGCUUUGGCAGGCCCGCGCUCCGGCGCUCUCGGCUUCGGCGGAGACGUGUCUGCCAGAGGACCCCAACUCGUGAUUUUAGUGAUGUCUGAGUACUAUAUAAUAGUUAAAAC
rnacentral:misc_RNA from 1 species